UACGGGGGGGGCAAGCGUUGUUCGGAAUUACUGGGCGUAAAGGGCUCGUAGGCGGCCAACUAAGUCAGACGUGAAAUCCCUCGGCUUAACCGGGGAACUGCGUCUGAUACUGGAUGGCUUGAGUUUGGGAGAGGGAUGCGGAAUUCCAGGUGUAGCGGUGAAAUGCGUAGAUAUCGGGAGGAACACCUGUGGCGAAAGCGGCGCACUGGACCACAACUGACGCUGAGGCGCGAAAGCUAGGGGAGCAAACGGG
rnacentral:rRNA from 1 species